UUCGGCUUCACCCCAGCGUCACCACGCUACGCCAGUGAGUCAAAGUUAUAUUGUCAUGGAACCUGUGGGCGUCACCUGGUUACAAGUCCCAGGGAUUAUGUUUGAGAAAAUUACAGACAGCAACCAAUCCACACUACCAGGUGAGUAGAGAAAACAUACUGGUGUCUUGGGAGGAAAUACAAUGUUUUGAUGAGGAAACCCCCAGGGGAUACAUCUGCAUAGCUCUCACAAGAGAUAUCUUCUGUCUGAACAGUCUUUUUCUUUGUAUUUUUCUUCCUUUUUUUCACAACAAAUGGGUUGUAGUGGUGCCUGGAGAAGUGGGUAUACUGAAAUCCAGUGGUGUAGUGGUGCCCGGAAAAGUGGGUACACUCAAAAUCUGGUGUGUAGAAUUAGAGGGUUGUUUAUUUCUGGUUGUUUAUUUGUAACUGAAAUGCACUACAGGAAGUGCUGGGGACAGUAUCGCUUCCACGGUCUGCCAUGACUGCAAGGCUAGUACUCAUGAAAAAGUAUGAAUGAUGGAGCAGCGGAGAGAAAGACUGAAACUUUAAGCAAUAUGGGAGCAUUUCAGCAAAAACAUAUCAGCGAAACAAGUUCAGUGCAAACACUGUAAAGCACAGUUGACAUUUCACGGCAGCCCUACAAUGAUGCAUGAAUAUCUUAAACGCAAGCACUCUGGAGCUGUGAUAGGUAUGUUUUAGGGACCAUUUCGUGCUUUAGUCAACUAGCUAUAAUGUUAGCAUCGUAAUAUUUGUUAGUUUACCUGUCGGAAAACAAGGUCUCAUGGAUGGUGCUGGCUAAGACAAAGCUAUUUCAGUUGUUAGCUAACGCGUUAAAUGCAAUAUUAAAUCAGUGAAUUAUAGGAGUAGCCUACCCUGUCUCGUCGUCUUCCCUAUUUUUGUACUUGCGUUGAUACUAUCGUUCAUUCUGAAGUAAAACAUGUAUAGGAGCCCCGCCAACAGGAAGCAGAGAUGGAGGGCGUGAAAAAAUUUAUUGCUGACUAAUCGAAAAAAUAAUCACUUGUUUCAGUCCUACAUUAUUCAUAUCAACUAGUUUCUAAGUAAUUAAUCAUUUGAUUGUGAAUCAUAAAUAU
rnacentral:lncRNA from 1 species